rnacentral:rRNA from 1 species
GUGACCUCAAAUCAGGUAGGACUACCCGCUGAACUUAAGCAUAUCAAUAAGCGGAGGAAAAGAAACUAACAAGGAUUCCCCUAGUAACUGCGAGUGAAGCGGGAAGAGCUCAAAUUUAAAAUCUGGCGGCGUCCUCGUCGUCCGAGUUGUAAUCUGGAGAAGCGACAUCCGCGCUGGACCGUGUACAAGUCUCUUGGAAAAGAGCGUCGUAGAGGGUGACAAUCCCGUCUUUGACACGGACCGCCAGGGCUUUGUGAUGCGCUCUCGAUGAGUCGAGUUGUUUGGGAAUGCAGCUCAAAAUGGGUGGUAAAUUCCAUCUAAAGCUAAAUAUUGGCGAGAGACCGAUAGCGAACAAGUACCGUGAGGGAAAGAUGAAAAGAACUUUGGAAAGAGAGUUAAACAGUAUGUGAAAUCGCUGAAAGGGAAACGCUUGAAGUCAGUCGCGUCGGUCGGAAUUCAGCCUUGCUCACGCUCGGUGUACUUUCUGACCGACGGGUCAGCAUCGAUUUUGAUGGUCGGAUAAAGGUCGAGGGAAUGUGGCACCUUCGGGUGUGUUAUAGCCUUCGGUCGGGAUACGACGGUCGGGAUCGAGGAAAACUGGGCGCUUUCGCGUUUGGGAUGCUGGCAUAAUGGCUUUAAACGACCCGUC